CCUUCACCAACUUUGUUCUCUUCCUUGGAUGGGAUGAACACAGGUUUCUGGCACAGGGAGUCAAAUAACCACUCUCUGCUUUAGGUUUGAGAGGCACAAGGAAAUUCAGGAGUGAUGCAAAAUAAUGAGAAGAGCCUAAAGUGAAGGCCAAAACCUCAAUCUCAAGCUCAGUGCAAGCUUGGCAAGUCUGUGGAGGGAGAGGAGCAAAAGCCAAUUGUUAGACAGAUACAUUUUCUUUACAGUAGUGGGAUCCCAAUGUCCCUUCAACUGUGUCCUUAGCCAGUUCACUUUGCUGAUAUUCAGGACUUUCAGGGGGCAUUUUUAUCUUUAAAUGACCUCUCGGCUGCAAAAGAAUCAUGCAGCCUGCAAGUUAAUCAGUCACGUCUCAGCAGUAAUUCUGUAUAGAGCAGUAAAGUCCAGGAAAGCUUUGCAAGUUCACAGACAUGGAAUCUUGACAUUUCCCUCUCUCACCCUCUAACUGGUGUUUUAUCAACUGCAUUUACUCCCCUCCCUGAAACAACAGCAUUGUUAAUUAAUAUUUUACUUGGAAGAGAUUUCUUUGUGAAGGUGACAAUGUCUGUGUGUCUGUUUCUAUGUCUGCUUAUCAGAGAAUUAUAAUGUCAGUGAGCAUUGCUGAAUGCGGGAUAAGUACACAAGCUGUAUUUGGAAAAAAAUAACCAAACCAGAUUUUCACAUUUGCAGAAAUACUUUUUCUGAUCAUUUUGUUUGAACAGUCUCACACUUUACCUUUGUUUAUGAAAAUAAUAACAGUUUGUAAUUAAAAGAGGUUUUGUAAACAAACACCAAAACUUUCAAUUUCCAAAACCUCUAGAAUGUUAACAUGAGGUGUUUUGAAAUUUGGUCUCUUGAUUUUUGAAACAAAAUUUAAUCUAAAUCAAUGCAGUUCGGUGGACAACACUGAAAGUAUUGACUAAAAUUUCUGGAAAAUAUAAAUGAGUAUGUACAAUCACACUCAGCAUCUUCAAAGUAAAAAACCCACCCAGAUCUGUUGCUGUCUGCUGUUAAGAUCUGGUGACUAUCUCUGCAGAUUGCACAAGUUCCUGCAGUUUCAGAUCCUCUGUUCUGUGCUGCACAGCUCUUUACUUAGCACUAAAUUUGCCUGUAAUGAUCACGCUCGUGUACAAUUACUAUUCAUGUGCACUCGGUGCUUUGUCAUCACUCCUAAGGACUGAAUAACAUCUUGCAGGAUAAGGAAUAAAGUAGAAGGAAUUAAAUUGUUCUGUCAUUUGGAGGUAUGCCAUGGCUCACAUGGAUGUCACGUGGUGCUGCCAGAAAAUCUGGAAGUUGAACCUUAUCCCCACUCCCUCUCUCUCCUCUGAAUUGAUUUCUCAUAAGUCUUGCUCUCGAGUUUUUCAUCUCCGGGUUUUGAAAUCAUUAGAAUGAUUUUGGCAUUGCUUUCAGGAUAAUGUCAUUAAAACCUCAGGGUCUUACUCUGAAAGUCUGGUUGGGGCUGUGGAGGCUGUCUGUGUAGCUUAUGAGCUGAGCUGAGCUUCUACACAAUGUUGAGAGAUCAUUACAUCAGCCUGAAUAGGCGUAGAAGUCUUUUUCAACCUCAAUUAUUCCAUAUUCUAGAUCAUGAAAGUUUGGAUUUCAUUAGAUAAGCACUUUGACAUUUCAGAAUUUUUGAUCCUUCUCAAAAUAUUAGGAAAUUUCUUUUAAAAUAUUAUUUUGAAAAACAAGCGUACGAGAUACAUGAUGACAUUUCUGAUUUUUUUUGUUUGUUUGUUUUGGUGACCUUUAUGAAAAAGACAGAUUUUGCAAAUUCUUAUGUGGUAACUUCCUGCAUUCAAGAACUGGGAGUCUCCUUUCCUUUUCCAGCUGGUAGGACAUGCUGGUUUUCCAGUACAGCCAGUACUGAAAGACUGUCGGGUGCAAACAUUUGAUUCCCCCCCAAAGAUAUCUCAGACAGAGAGAGUGAAUAAUCCUGUUGCAUUGCCUGCAGAGGGAACUAAGGUGCCACCUUGGAGAGCACAGAUAAUUUUUGGACAUCCAAAACUCAGAAGGAUGAACGUCACUCAGGAAAACCAAAGAAAUUCGAAUACUCCUGUGAAAAAAGUUAACUCGGACAAAGAGAUGCAGUAUUAAAUUCAUGCUGCAUUUUCACCUUCAAAACUAGAUUAAAAACACCUAAAUGAUCUGGAAUGUAAGGUCAGAAACAAAGAGGUUGCAUGUGAGGAAAGAAAUAUAAAGCAUCAAAAGGAUUCUCAAAUUUAAUUGUAAAUAGGAAAGAAUCAUGUCAGGAUAAGCCCUGACAUAUCUCAGAGAUUUCAGUUUUUACAAGAAAAAGAUAAGUCUAUCUUUUCAUCUCCUUAAAGAAGUUUGCUUGUUUCUCUCUUUCCUUUUAGCAAAAAAAAAAAAAAAAAAAAAAAAAAAAGUAAAAUAAAAUAGGAAGGAAAAGCUUUUUCAGUUUGACAUCAGAUUUGCUCUCUGACUAAAUUGGUUUUGGAGUUCCUUAUCAAAAUAUUCUGGGAAACUAUCAUACAAAUGCAGUAUAUAUUAGAAAUGUCAGAAUACCAUCUGUGAGCAGAAAAGAAAUAACAGCAUGGGAACAGAAAGAAAAUAUCUGUGGGGUGUUUUAAAAUUAGGAUGCCAAUACUCUGAUUUAUAAAACUCAAUCAAAGCAUGAGUGUUGGCUGUAAAGGAAAUGCUGCACCUCAUAAAUUUAUGCUUUGUGUAAUCAGCAACUUUACAGUGAGAUUCAUGGGGUGCUGGAGGUUUUUUUUAAUCUUAAAUUUCAUACCAGCAUUAAAACAAAUACCCUGAACUCUCACCAAAAUGCAUGAACUUGUUUCCCAGUCAUCCUAACUUUGACAAUUGUCUGUUGCUUGAGAAAUUAACUCACAAUGGUAACUCAAAAAUCAUUCUCUACAUCUUAUUGUGAUAAUUUUUGGAAUUUGAAUAUAAAAACAGUGUUUUCACUGCAAGUACAAUAUUCCAACUGUAGAUGUCCAGAAUAGGCCUCAGGAGUGAUUAAACUGAGGGAUCUUAAUAAAUCUGACUUCUACAUUCCCAGACAUCUAGAGAAGAAUAUCAAGCUUUAUGUUGAUAGUCAUGGUCAUCAGCCUGAGGUAGGUCCAGUCCCUAAGAAAUUAAAAACAGACAAACAAAAAAUUGUUAAUUCCAUGCUGUAAGGCAAUUCUGCCCAUCCACAGCAAACAGCAGAUCAACUCCAGAUUUCAAGACUGAAAAUUAUCUUUAUUUCAAACCACUGAAAAUGAUGGUUCCCCUGAGGUUUCUGUAAGUUCUUCUGUACUGCAGACUCUCUUCAAAGCAGGAGAAAUUCUGGAUUGAAGAUCUUCUGUAAAGAGAUUUUAUCAACUAACCCACAUCACUGUCAAUGAUUUUAUUCAAGAGAGCAAUGGACUGAGUUGAAACCACAGUAUUGGAGCAGGAGCAAUAGAUUAUGGCUUAUCUGAAUUCUGUCUAAGAGUUCCAUCUAAUACAACUGCUGCAGACUAAAGGGAAAAAAACCCCCAUUCUUAAAUAAAAUCAGCUAAGAAAGAGGCACACACAAAUGACAAUGGGGCUGCAAUCCUCAAAGCGACGCCAGCUUGUUUGUUUUCCUCUUUAUGGAAAAGGAACGCUGUUUACAGUGCUGUGUGCUCCAACAGAAACCCCAACACACACAAGAGCUUUAUCUUUAUUGGUCUCUGCUGCUGCUGCAGCCUUUCUUGGUUUCUUUUUGUCCUUAUCAGUGUUAAUGGCAAAGAUCAUUGCAAAGCACAACAGAAAGAAAAUAUCAUCAUACAUCACAUGGCACAGUGUCUCAAAUUGUUUGGUUGUACUAAUCAUAACCAGAAUUAAUACUAUGUUACACAGGAACCACCCAGAUGAAAAAUACUUGAGUGACAAUAAGGUCACAAUUAAUACAAGCCACCACGCAAGUAAUAAAGUUAUGUAUUCUCAUAUAGUUCUAAAUACUGUGUGACUUUCAGAGCAGCAGGGUGAACUGGAUGUGGUGUUAUAUCACUGGGAAACACACACUUUUACUCUUUUUUUGACAAUAUUUGUCAGUAUUGGCAGUAUUUUGACAGUAUUUUUUCAUUGAAUGUUGUGAUCUGAAAAUACAAAGUAACACAUUUAAGAGCAUCUGUCACAAAUACAAUUGUGCAGCUUUAUCUGAAUCAGAUGAAAAUUCCUUUUACCAAAGUAAUAUAAAAAGUGUUGAGAGCUUUCAGUAGCCCUUGCAGUAAUUUUAUACUAAAAUCCAGUUCCACUUGUUAAUUACUUCUACUCAUGUAAUAAUUAAUUUUAUUUACUUUUACAUUAUUUCACCUUCAGAAUGUUACUUAUUAUUAAUUGCCUGUUAUUUUACUGUGAUAUAAUGCAAUAAGAUGUAAGAUCCCAUUAAUAUUAAAAAAUAUAUUUUAAUCAUAUAGUUAUUGCCAUGAAAGAAACAAAAGACUGACUGCUUUCCAAAUUAUUUUGAGCCCAAAUUUGGUAAAAAAACAACACAAAUUCUAAAACUUUUAAAGGAAUAUUGAAAAAAAGCAGUGGUGUUAAUACUUUCUCUUCAAUAAAAAUAAUUUCUUCCGAUCCAAAA